CUAGUGGCGCACGGGUGAGUAACAUGUGGGAAUCUACCUGAAGGUUCGGAAUAACUGCGGGAAACUGUAGCUAAUACCGGAUGUGUCUGCAAAGAGAAAGAUUUAUCGCCUUCAGAUGAGCCCGCACUAGAUUAGCUAGUUGGUGAGGUAAUUGCUCCACCAAGGCUACGAUCUAUAGCUGAUUUGAGAGGAUGAUCAGCCACACUGGGACUGAGACACGGCCCAGACUCCUACGGGAGGCAGCAGUAGGGAAUAUUGGACAAUGGGGGAAACCCUGAUCCAGCAAUGCCGCGUGAGUGAAGAAGGCCUUCGGGUUGUAAAGCUCUUUCAUCAAUGAUGAUAAUGACAUUAGUUGAAGAAGAAGCCCCGGCUAACUUCGUGCCAGCAGCCGCGGUAAUACGAAGGGGGCUAGCGUUGUUCGGAAUCACUGGGCGUAAAGCGUAUGUAGGCGGAUCAAAAAGUUAGAUGUGAAAUCCCUGG
rnacentral:rRNA from 1 species